rnacentral:rRNA from 1 species
AGCGAACGCUGGCGGCAGGCCUAACACAUGCAAGUCGAACGAACUCUUCGAAGUUAGUGGCGGACGGGUGAGUAACACGUGGGAACGUGCCUUUUGGUUCGGAAUAACUCAGGGAAACUUGUGCUAAUACCGAAUGUGCCCUUCGGGGGAAAGAUUUAUCGCCAUUAGAGCGGCCCGCGUCUGAUUAGCUAGUUGGUGAGGUAACGGCUCACCAAGGCGACGAUCAGUAGCUGGUCUGAGAGGAUGACCAGCCACACUGGGACUGAGACACGGCCCAGACUCCUACGGGAGGCAGCAGUGGGGAAUCUUGCGCAAUGGGCGAAAGCCUGACGCAGCCAUGCCGCGUGAAUGAUGAAGGUCUUAGGAUUGUAAAAUUCUUUCACCGGGGACGAUAAUGACGGUACCCGGAGAAGAAGCCCCGGCUAACUUCGUG